AGUGAACGCUGGCGGUAGGCCUAACACAUGCAAGUCGAACGGCAGCACAGUAAGAGCUUGCUCUUACGGGUGGCGAGUGGCGGACGGGUGAGGAAUACAUCGGAAUCUACUUUUUCGUGGGGGAUAACGUAGGGAAACUUACGCUAAUACCGCAUACGACCUACGGGUGAAAGCAGGGGAUCUUCGGACCUUGCGCGAUUGAAUGAGCCGAUGUCGGAUUAGCUAGUUGGCGGGGUAAAGGCCCACCAAGGCGACGAUCCGUAGCUGGUCUGAGAGGAUGGUCAGCCACACUGGAACUGAGACACGGUCCAGACUCCUACGGGAGGCAGCAGUGGGGAAUAUUGGACAAUGGGCGCAAGCCUGAUCCAGCCAUACCGCGUGGGUGAAGGAGGCCUUCGGGUUUUAAAGCCCUUUUGUUGGGGAAGAAAAGCAGCAGGUUAAUACCCCGCUGUUCUGACGGUACCCAAAGAAUAAGCAACGGCUAACUUCGUG
rnacentral:rRNA from 1 species